AUUGAACGCUGGCGGCAGGCCUAACACAUGCAAGUCGAGCGGAUGAAGGGAGCUUGCUCCUGGAUUCAGCGGCGGACGGGUGAGUAAUGCCUAGGAAUCUGCCUGGUAGUGGGGGAUAACGUCCGGAAACGGGCGCUAAUACCGCAUACGUCCUGAGGGAGAAAGUGGGGGAUCUUCGGACCUCACGCUAUCAGAUGAGCCUAGGUCGGAUUAGCUAGUUGGUGGGGUAAAGGCCUACCAAGGCGACGAUCCGUAACUGGUCUGAGAGGAUGAUCAGUCACACUGAAACUGGAAAACGGUCAAGCACCCAACGGGAGGCAGCGGUGGGAAAUAUUGAACAAGGGGCGAAAGCCUGAUCCAGCCAGGCCGGGUGGGUGAAGAAGGUCUUCGGAUUGUAAAGCACUUAAGUUGGGAGGAAGGGCAGUAAGUUAAUACCUUGCUGUUUUGACGUUACCAACAGAAUAAGCACCGGCUAACUUCGUG
rnacentral:rRNA from 1 species